GAUGAACGCUGGCGGCGUGCCUAAUACAUGCAAGUCGAGCGAACAGAUGAGGAGCUUGCUCCUCUGACGUUAGCGGCGGACGGGUGAGUAACACGUGGAUAACCUACCUAUAAGACUGGGAUAACUACGGGAAACCGGAGCUAAUACCGGAUAAUAUAUUGAACCGCAUGGUUCAAUAGUGAAAGACGGUUUUGCUGUCACUUAUAGAUGGAUCCGCGCCGAAUUAGCUAGUUGGUAAGGUAACGGCUUACCAAGGCAACGAUGCGUAGCCGACCUGAGAGGGUGAUCGGCCACACUGGAACUGAGACACGGUCCAGACUCCUACGGGAGGCAGCAGUAGGGAAUCUUCCGCAAUGGGCGAAAGCCUGACGGAGCAACGCCGCGUGAGUGAUGAAGGUCUUCGGAUCGUAAAACUCUGUUAUUAGGGAAGAACAAAUGUGUAAGUAACUAUGCACGUCUUGACGGUACCUAAUCAGAAAGCCACGGCUAACUACGUG
rnacentral:rRNA from 1 species